UACGGAGGGUGCAAGCGUUAAUCGGAAUUACUGGGCGUAAAGCGCACGCAGGCGGUUUGUUAAGUCAGAUGUGAAAUCCCCGAGCUUAACUUGGGAACUGCAUUUGAAACUGGCAAGCUAGAGUCUUGUAGAGGGGGGUAGAAUUCCAGGUGUAGCGGUGAAAUGCGUAGAGAUCUGGAGGAAUACCGGUGGCGAAGGCGGCAUCCUGGACCAUUACUGACGCUGAGGAGCGAAAGCCAGGGGAGCAAACGGG
rnacentral:rRNA from 1 species